rnacentral:rRNA from 1 species
UACGGGGGGGGGCAAGCGUUGUUCGGAAUUUACUGGGCGUAAAGGGCUCGUAGGUGGCCAACUAAGUCAGACGUGAAAUCCCUCGGCUUAACCGGGGAACUGCGUCUGAUACUGGAUGGCUUGAGUUCGGGAGAGGGAUGCGGAAUUCCAGGUGUAGCGGUGAAAUGCGUAGAUAUCUGGAGGAACACCGGUGGCGAAGGCGGCAUCCUGGACCGACACUGACACUGAGGAGCGAAAGCCAGGGGAGCAAACGGG